GGUUAGAUAGGCGAUUGAUUACAAGUUUCCAUUCUGUAUAUUCUGUGGCUAUAUUCCAAGUUUUGUUGCAAUCCAUCCUGUAGUUUUCGAGAAAUCGUGAUCAGUGAGUUGCAGCCAUCUAUGUGAGAUUUGAUUGGUCAUUCUGAAGGUGCGUACAGACUCUCGCUCUGCUCUGCAACCGAACGUCACUCCAGCAGAGCGAUUGAUGAUCGACCGGGGAGCAACAAUGGUUCGACCGGGGAACGCGAGAAGAUCUAACAUCUUCCGUAACGUUCAUGAUGGGUGCGUGGGCGGCGCGACUGUAGUUCGAUGGAGGAACGAGGGCGGUACGAGGGAGGAGCGUGCUCGGUGCGGGUUGGAAGAGCGUAUAUGUGUACGCAUCUUGAGAAGCAUCAGCCCUAAGCCUAGAAAAACAUAAUUGGCCUUUUUUCAAUACAAAAACUAAGGUAUUUUGAGUGAAAUAUAUGAAUUGUCAUUACAAACCUCUGAGCACCAGAUCAUUAAGUUGAGCUCGUGAAUAGUGAGUGAAAUUGCAGUGUUCUCCAUAGUGACAUUCCCCUGUCUGCAUAAAUUUCCGGCACUCAACUUUAGUUGUCUCUUCUUGGACAAUUGUUUUCAAAUCUAAAAAUUAAAAGACAAUUUCAAGUCAACGAAUAUAAAAAAGUACAAUAGAAUAUAAAAGAGUACAAUAGAAUAUCAUAAAAAUAAUUGUAGCCUACUUCUAUUGGAGAAUAGGUAAGCCAAUGCCUCUUGCCAAAUAAAUAAGUAGGCUAGUAUAAAGAUGGGAAUAAAUGUUAUAACUUACA
rnacentral:lncRNA from 1 species